CCUACGGGAGGCUGCAGUGAGGAAUAUUGGUCAAUGGGCGGAAGCCUGAACCAGCCAAGUCGCGUGAGGGAAUAAGGCCCUACGGGUCGUAAACCUCUUUUGCCGGGGAGCAAAGGCGGGGACGUGUCCCGGCCCGUAGAGUACCCGGAGAAAAAGCAUCGGCUAACUCCUUGCCAGCAGCCGCGGUAAUACGGGGGAUGCGAUGGUUAUCCGGUUUUAUUGGGUUUAAAGGUUGCGUAGGCGGGCUUUUAAGUCAGCGGUAAAAAUUCGGGGCUCAACCCCGUACGGCCGUUGAAACUGGGGGCCUUGAGUGGGCGAGAGGAAGGCGGAAUGCGUGGUGUAGCGGUGAAAUGCAUAGAUAUCACGCAGAACACCGAUUGCGAAGGCAGCCUUCCGGCGCCCUACUGACGCUGAGGCACGAAAGUGCGGGGAUCGAACAGGAUUAGAUACCCGUGUAGUC
rnacentral:rRNA from 1 species